CGUACUUCAUAUUAUUUUUUCACAUUCACAUUCAUUCUGGAGCAUUCAUUCUCGUUUUUUAUUAUACUCGUUACUCGUAGAGUAAAAGGUUUACUAGUCGAAUAUUUUUAAAAUUUAUUUGUAUAAGGUAUGAAUUUGUUUUUGGCCAAUGCCUCAGCUUGUCCGUUCCCAGGGAAUUGUCACUGAUCCGAUUCGUGAAGACCCACUUACAUAUCUGAUUUGUCAUUGUCCUGAUCGAAAGCCAGCGAAAACAGAGGCAUCAUAUUACACUUUGUCGCGGAACCUGCUCGUUUCCAUUAUGAGUAUCCACUAUCCGCAGCUCAAGACACUAACAAAUGGGACCACCGUUCGGAUGACUUCUGCUGCAACUGUUGCAUUUCGCAGAUAAGAUUGGUACUCGCUACAUUUGCGGACAUUACUUUGAUGAGUUUGGGGUAGAGCAGAGACGUGGCCACUUCGUUUUAGUAGAAGCCAAGAUAUAAUUGAGCUUAACUAAUACUAAAUACUUUGUAUUUUACAAUAAAAUAUGUAACAAAGAAUUACAAAAUCUUAAAGCCAA
rnacentral:sRNA from 1 species